GGCCAGUGAUACGAUGGCAUGUGUUACCUGAACCCAAAACUGAUGUGAAUUCCAAAAUUACAGAGGCCUU